rnacentral:SRP_RNA from 1 species
GGUGGGAGAUCGGGCGGACGGGAGUCUCGCCAACCCGGUCAGGUCCUGACGGAAGCAGCCGCAACGAGUUUCCUCCCGGGUCGUUCCGGUCUCCCGCCUUC